GACGAACCGUGCGAACGUUAUUCGGAAUCACUGGGCGUAAAGGGUGCGUAGGCGGGUCUUUAAGUCAGAGGUGAAAUCCUGGAGCUCAACUCCAGAACUGCCUUUAAGACUGCAUCGCUUGAAUCCGAGAGAGGUGAGUGGAAUUCCGAGUGUAGAGGUGAAAUUCGUAGAUAUUCGGAAGAACACCAGUGGCGAAGGCGGCUCACUGGCUCGGUAUUGACGCUGAGGUGCGAAAGCGUGGGGAGCAAACAGG
rnacentral:rRNA from 1 species